rnacentral:tRNA from 1 species
GCGGGNGUGGUGNAAUUGGUAGACACGCUAGACUUAGGAUCUAGUGCCGCAAGGUGUGAGAGUUCGAGUCUCUCCGCCCGCACAA